rnacentral:rRNA from 1 species
AUGUUUGAUACAAAGAAAAAAUUGAAGUAUGCGGUGAUAAAGUGGGCUAUGUCUACGCAGAGGGUUUUCCGGACACACAUAUCAAGUCCAACAAACUAUACCGUGAAAUGUGUUGAAACAGGUUAUCCUGGGAAGGUGCACGGGCACGUGCCGAAGUAUGACAUCCACUGGGUUGUCACCAUUGUCGUCCCACAUAAUUGUGUGAGGAAGAACCUGCUGGUGAAGCAUCCGAACCUGACUUCAAGUCUCAUUGCGCCUCAUGUAUACUGA